rnacentral:SRP_RNA from 1 species
UGCAGCCGGGGAGAUAGCGGUGCCCUGUACCUGCAAUCCGCUACAGCAGGGGUGAUGUCUUUGCCGAGGGUUAUUUCUUGUAGAGCUGCCCUGUAUAAGCGGCGUUGAAGCCUGGGUCUUGCGCAACAAGACCCCGUGAACCGUGUCAGGUCAGGAAUGGAGCAGCACUAAGCGGGACAUCUUGUGUGCCGCGAGGCAGCCUGGGCCGAGUUGGCUGUACAGGUAACGUUUAUGAGAGUAACUCGAAGCAGGACGCACG